UUAAACAUAAUGACAUGAACUGAAUUAACAAGUGCACACGACUAGAAAAAAACAUCAUUUGACAUCGAGUUUCUAAUUAAAUCAUGGCUGCAACUGGGCACCGUUAUUAUAAUAGUGAAGGUGGACGUGCUGCUACUUCCCUCAUUCCCAACAUGAAUCAAGUACCUGCAUUGAGUAAUGCAAGAGUGAGAUGAUACAUCUCAGCAAGCAAAUUGUUUUGACGAGAUAUUUAAACCACAAAUUGAAUUAAAUAAUAUUUUAAAGGAAUCACAAUUGAGAUCAGAAAUACUUGUUGAUAUAGAACUCAAUAGUCACAAUAUAACCAAUACCAUCUCAUUUCCUCGAACAACCACAAUAGGUUGUAUAACCCUUCCCUACGUCAACAAUACCUGCAGAUAUCACUUCAAUGUAUGCAUAGGAAUGCAAUGUGUAGGUCAUCUGCCAUCAUACCUCUGAGAGUAUAAAACCACAGCAUCUGCUAAUAUCACUUCAAUGAAUGCAUAUAAAUGCAAUGCAUAUGUCCUCUGCCUUCAUACCUCUAAGGGUAUGAAGCCGCAUCGUACCCCUCCUCGGGCAACGUACGAUGCUAAGUUGUACCGGUACGGUCGGACCAUAGGUCACGACCCAACUUCAGAUGCAAAUGAAUCAUGUAAUGCAUAUGACAUGCUGCAUUUAUCAAUAUACUUCACUUCCUUUAGAUACAAAACAAACCUCAAAUAAUACUUCAUCUGCCUUCAGAUACAAUACAAACCUCAAAUAAUACUUUAUCUGCCUUCAGGGGUGUAAAUUAAUCUCAUGGGUCAUACUCGAACCAUAAUCAUCAUCAAUAUAUGACUGAGCAUUAGUAUAAUACAAGCAAGUAAAGCAUCACCAUAGAGUUCAAUUAUGAAAGAAUUCCAUAAUUCUGAAUAUUAGAGUGUAGGCGAUAAAAAAACAACAAGUCAAAACGGUAGAAACCACUGCCACAUUCACUUGCCUUCAUCGAAGAAGAAAGAUGUACUAGGCAUGAUCCGGAGUGUAGCCACCUGCUAGCGGGCAUAAAACUUAGUACAAAUAUUUCACAAACAUUUGCCAACAAUCAACAAAUCGCUCCUACACUUGAAACCAAGACCCGGUGGAAAGACUCCCACCCUGAACCACAUGCCAAACAACAGUAGCGCUGUUUGUUAAUUUUGUAUCUUUAAAAUUAUAACAGUGGUGAUAUUAAACAAAUAAUCUAGGAGUGUCUACACAAAAUACUCUACAACUUCGGUAUUCAAUGAAUAAUUAAAUUCUGCCAUCUAUAAGUUCUAAAACAUCUGAUAAGAUAAAUGUCUGAAUCUGUUUCAGACAGCAACAUAGUUAACUUUAAAAUUCAAUAUAUACCAAACUACUCAACCAAAAAUUAUGAAAUUCUGCUGGCAGUAAUAACUUUUAUCCCUCUACAAAUGUCUCCAUAGUUGGAACAGCCAAUUCGGCUAUUUACUAUAUGAAACCCACCAGUGAACAGACCCGCUCAUUUUUAUCAGGCAAACAGGAACAGCCACAGUAAAAUAAACAUAACUGGAGUUUCAUAAUUCAUAUGAAUCCAAUCUUUAACAAUCUGGAAAGCUUAUAAAAUUUUCUACAACUUAUGUUACAAUCCUAAAGUUUAAUUCUGUUGAUAAAAUUGCCUAAAUCUUAAGAGAACAGAUUCUGCACAGAAUUAUGAGACUGAAAAACUGCUAUAAUCAAACUGCAAUAACAUUCUGAUCUGAUGUCCGAUUGAGGUGUUCUUCACGGCCACGGAAAGACCUACAAAUUAUCUACGACUCAUAGUUAGACUUUUUAUUUUUUUGAGGCCACUAAGACCACGGAAAACUGGUAUGAACAGAAACUGUUGAAUCUGUCAUCCUGCAGAAACUAAUUUCGAGAUCAAAAUCUAAUCUCCCAUCUAAUCCAACCAAAAAAACUAAUUGCAGGGCCUAAAACUCAUCCAAAACAAGGGAAAGCAUUCAUCAAGUGGAGAAAAGAGAGAGAGGAAAGGAAAUCCAACCAAUUCUUGGAGAGGAACGACGAUGAUGCACGACGGUAUGCCCUCAUCUCCCCUCUCUUCUCUUCUUUUUUUCUUCCUCUCUUCUCUUGGGGCAAGACACAAAGG
rnacentral:lncRNA from 1 species